rnacentral:rRNA from 1 species
UGGGGAAUAUUGGACAAUGGGCGCAAGCCUGAUCCAGCCAUGCCGCGUGAGUGACGAAGGUCUUCGGAUUGUAAAACUCUUUUUGGCGGGGACGAUAAUGACGGUACCCGCAGAAUAAGCCCCGGCUAACUUCGUGCCAGCAGCCGCGGUAAUACGAAGGGGGCUAGCGUUGUUCGGAAUCACUGGGCGUAAAGCGCACGUAGGCGGAUGUGCCAGUCAGGGGUGAAAUCCCGGAGCUCAACUCCGGAACUGCCUCUGAUACUGCACGUCUUGAGUUCGAGAGAGGUGGGUGGAAUUCCUAGUGUAGAGGUGAAAUUCGUAGAUAUUAGGAAGAACACCGGUGGCGAAGGCGGCCCACUGGCUCGAUACUGACGCUGAGGUGCGAAAGCGUGGGGAGCAAACAGGAUUAGAUACCCCCGUAGUCCCUGAGCGGGCUGGCAAGGCGCAU